rnacentral:misc_RNA from 1 species
UUACUGUGGAUGACAAGGUCAGUCGUUUUUAUUCAAUAUGGCAAUUUCAAUUGGUGACGAUAUGAUUAGAUUUGUUAAGUUCUAACUGUGAGUAUGAGUUAUCAUAGUAGGAUCUGCAAGAAGUUCAGAAUAUAGAUUUAGCGUAGAGAUUGGAUAAUUUCUCUGUUGUGGCCAAAUUGUCUUUCUUGCACUAAUUUUAACUUACUAUUUGAUGAUUGAGCAUAACAUUCUUUCUAAGAUUUUCAUUAUUUGCGUGUCUUUAUGAGUUAUGAUAUGAAUUCCUAUUCUUUGCAUGUGUUUUACAUUUCAAAGGACUUUGGGGAAGCUUGGAUUCAGCCUAUGCUCCUAUACUUCUUUCACCCUAGGCAUUUGGAGCUAAAAUAG